rnacentral:snRNA from 1 species
GUGCUCGGUUCAGCAGCACAUAUACUAAAAUUGGAAUGAUACAGAGAAGAUUAGCAUGGCCCCUGCGCAAGCAUGACAUACAAAUUUGUGAAGCGUUCCAUAUUUUU